AUGAACGCUAGCUACAGGCUUAACACAUGCAAGUCGAGGGGCAGCAUGGUCUUAGCUUGCUAAGGCCGAUGGCGACCGGCGCACGGGUGAGUAACACGUAUCCAACCUGCCGUCUACUCUUGGACAGCCUUCUGAAAGGAAGAUUAAUACAAGAUGGCAUCAUGAGUCCGCAUGUUCACAUGAUUAAAGGUAUUCCGGUAGACGAUGGGGAUGCGUUCCAUUAGAUAGUAGGCGGGGUAACGGCCCACCUAGUCUUCGAUGGAUAGGGGUUCUGAGAGGAAGGUCCCCCACAUUGGAACUGAGACACGGUCCAAACUCCUACGGGAGGCAGCAGUGAGGAAUAUUGGUCAAUGGGCGAGAGCCUGAACCAGCCAAGUAGCGUGAAGGAUGACUGCCCUAUGGGUUGUAAACUUCUUUUAUAAAGGAAUAAAGUCGGGUAUGGAUACCCGUUUGCAUGUACUUUAUGAAUAAGGAUCGGCUAACUCCGUGCCAGCAGCCGCGGUAAUACGGAGGAUCCGAGCGUUAUCCGGAUUUAUUGGGUUUAAAGGGAGCGUAGAUGGAUGUUUAAGUCAGUUGUGAAAGUUUGCGGCUCAACCGUAAAAUUGCAGUUGAUACUGGAUAUCUUGAGUGCAGUUGAGGCAGGCGGAAUUCGUGGUGUAGCGGUGAAAUGCUUAGAUAUCACGAAGAACUCCGAUUGCGAAGGCAGCCUGCUAAGCUGCAACUGACAUUGAGGCUCGAAAGUGUGGGUAUCAAACAGGAUUAGAUACCCUGGUAGUCCACACGGUAAACGAUGAAUACUCGCUGUUUGCGAUAUACGGCAAGCGGCCAAGCGAAAGCGUUAAGUAUUCCACCUGGGGAGUACGCCGGCAACGGUGAAACUCAAAGGAAUUGACGGGGGCCCGCACAAGCGGAGGAACAUGUGGUUUAAUUCGAUGAUACGCGAGGAACCUUACCCGGGCUUAAAUUGCAGAUGAAUUACGGUGAAAGCCGUAAGCCGCAAGGCAUCUGUGAAGGUGCUGCAUGGUUGUCGUCAGCUCGUGCCGUGAGGUGUCGGCUUAAGUGCCAUAACGAGCGCAACCCUUAUCUUUAGUUACUAACAGGUCAUGCUGAGGACUCUAGAGAGACUGCCGUCGUAAGAUGUGAGGAAGGUGGGGAUGACGUCAAAUCAGCACGGCCCUUACGUCCGGGGCUACACACGUGUUACAAUGGGGGGUACAGAGGGCCGCUACCACGCGAGUGGAUGCCAAUCCCCAAAACCUCUCUCAGUUCGGACUGGAGUCUGCAACCCGACUCCACGAAGCUGGAUUCGCUAGUAAUCGCGCAUCAGCCACGGCGCGGUGAAUACGUUCCCGGGCCUUGUACACACCGCCCGUCAAGCCAUGGGAGCCGGGGGUACCUGAAGUGCGUAACCGCGAGGAGCGCCCUAGGGUAAAACUGGUGACUGGGGCU
rnacentral:rRNA from 1 species